AGCUGCAUGACACAAGCCAUGCCAUGGUGACAUAUUGGCCACGCAUCAUGACGGUCAUCAUAAGGCCUAAGGAAGUUUGGAGGGGCGUAGUUAGCCUUCUGUAACAGCUGCAAAAUCACCAACCUAAAAUCACCCGUUAAAAAUCGCUUUUAAAAUCUUCUUACCGCUGAGCUCCCGGAAAUCUAAAAUCUUCCCGGCGAUUUCGCCGUCCCGGCACCCAAGCCGACAGCCAUCAUUUUUACCCGUGCCCGUAAUUUUUGCCGCAUGACGUCACCAGACGCCGCGCGCGUGCUCCGACCGCGUGCCGCAAAUGCCGCCGGUCUCUCUCUUUUUCUUUCUCUUUUUCCCCUCCCCUUUUCUUUUGCUUUUUCCUUCUUCCUUUCUUUUUCUUCUUUCUUCUUCCUCCUUCCUUCUUCUCUCUCCUCCUUCCUUCUUCUUCCUG
rnacentral:lncRNA from 1 species